rnacentral:rRNA from 1 species
GUGAACGCUGGCGGUAGGCCUCACACCUGCAAGUCGCACGGCAGCACAGUAAGAGCUUGCUCUUACGGGUGGCGAGUGGCGGACGGGUGAGGAAUACAUCGGAAUCUACUUUUUCGUGGGGGAUAACGUAGGGAAACUUACGCUAAUACCGCAUACGACCUACGGGUGAAAGCAGGGGAUCUUCGGACCUUGCGCGAUUGAAUGAGCCGAUGUCGGAUUAGCUAGUUGGCGGGGUAAAGGCCCACCAAGGCGACGAUCCGUAGCUGGUCUGAGAGGAUGAUCAGCCACACUGGAACUGAGACACGGUCCAGACUCCUACGGGAGGCAGCAGUGGGGAAUAUUGGACAAUGGGCGCAAGCCUGAUCCAGCCAUACCGCGUGGGUGAAGAAGGCCUUCGGGUUGUAAAGCCCUUUUGUUGGGAAAGAAAAGCAGCAGGUUAAUACCCCGCUGUUCUGACGGUACCCAAAGAAUAAGCACCGGCUAACUUCGUGC